GGUUUUGAUCAUGGCUCAGGUGAACGCUGGCGGGAUGCUUUACACGCGCUUCAAGUCGAACAGCAGCGAGGACUUCAGUCUCUGGUGGCGAACGGCGAACGGGUGAGUAAUGUAUCAGGAACAAUAUGCACUAAUGGCGGGGAUAACUACCUGGCGUAGCUAAUACCGCAUACCGCCCUUCCAGGAAAGCGGGGACCUUCGGGCCUCGCACUAUUAAACGGCCGAUAUCGGAUUAGCUAGUUGGUGGGGUAACGGCUCACCAAGAGCGGCGAUCCGUAGCUGGUUUGAGAGGACGACCAACCACUGGGACUGGAGCGGCCAGACUCUCUGGGCAGCAAGUGGGGAAUUUUGGACAAUGGGGAAACCUGAUCUGACCAUCCCGCGUGUACGAUAGAAGGCCUUCGGGUUGUAAAAAGCACUUUUGGCAGAGAAAGAAACGGCUGGGAUAAUACCCGUGCAACUGACGAAUACCUGCUGAAUAAGCACCGGCUAACUACGUGCCAGCAGCCGCGGUAAUACGUAGGGUGCAAGCGUUAAUCGGAAUUACUGGGCGUAAAGCGUGCGAGCGGUUCCAGGAAGAAGAUAUAUGUGAAAUCCCAGAGGCUUAGCUUUGGAACUGCAUUUUUAACUACCGAGCUAGAGUGUGUCCGAGAAGAGGUGGAACUGCGUGUAGCAGUGAAAAUGGCAGAUAUGCGGAGGAGCUUGCCGAUGGCGAAGGCAGCCUCCUGGGAUAACACUGACGCUCAUGCAGCGUGGAGGAGCAAACAGGAUUAGAUACCCUGAUAGUCCACGCCUAAACGAUGUCAACUAGCUGUUGGGGCCUUCGGGCCUUGGUAGCGCAGCUAACGCGUGAAGUUGACCGCCUGGGAGUGCGGUCGCAAAAUUCGCUCGAGGGCAGGCGGGGACCCUUUCAGCAGGUGGAUGAUAUCGGAUUAAUUCGAUUACAACGCGAAAAACCUUACCUACCCUUGACAUGUCUGGAAUCCCGAAGAGAUUUGGGAGUGCUCGCAAGAGAACCGGAACACAGGUGCUGCAUGGCUUCAUCGUCUGGCUCGAUGUCGUGAGAUGUUGGUUAGUCCCUGCUUGACGCCAGCCCUUGUCGUGGAUUGCUACGAAAGGGCACCUAAUGAGACUGCCGGUGACAAACGGAGGAAGGUGGGGAUGACGUCAGGUCCUCUUGGCCCUUAUGGGUAGGGCUUCACACGUCAUACAAUGGUCGGGACGGGGUCGCCAACCCGCGAGGGGGCCAAUCCCAGAAACCCGAUCGUAGUCCGGAUCACCAGUCUGCAGCUCGACUGCGUGAAGUCGGAAUCGCUAGUAAUCGCGGAUCAGCAUAAUAACGGUGGGCCACGUUCCCGGGUCUGUUGUGCCCACCGCCCGUCACACCAUGGGAGUGGGUUUUACCAGAAGUAGUUAGCCUAACCAAUAAGGAGGCGAUUACCACAGUAGGAUUCAUGACUGGGGUGAAGUCGUAACAGGUAA
rnacentral:rRNA from 1 species